UACGUAGGGUGCAAGCGUUAUCCGGAAUUAUUGGGCGUAAAGCGCGCGCAGGCGGUCUUUUAAGUCUGAUGUGAAAGCCCACGGCUCAACCGUGGAGGGUCAUUGGAAACUAGGAGACUUGAGUGCAGAAGAGAAGAGCGGAAUUCCACGUGUAGCGGUGAAAUGCGUAGAGAUGUGGAGGAACACCAGUGGCGAAGGCGGCUCUUUGGUCUGUAACUGACGCUGAGGCGCGAAAGCGUGGGGAGCGAACAGG
rnacentral:rRNA from 1 species